rnacentral:rRNA from 1 species
UACGUAGGGGGCAAGCGUUGUCCGGAUUCAUUGGGCGUAAAGAGCGUGUAGGCUGCUCGGUAAGUCCGCUGUAAAAGUCAAAGGCUCAACCUUUGAAUGUCAGUGGAUACUGCCGGGCUAGAGUCCGGAAGAGGCGAGUGGAACUCCUGGUGUAGCGGUGGAAUGCGUAGAUAUCUGGAGGAACACCGGUGGCGAAGGCGGCAUCCUGGACCGGCAUUGACGCUGAACAGCGAAAGCCAGGGGAGCAAACGGG